AUUGAACGCUGGCGGCAGGCUUAACACAUGCAAGUCGAGCGGAGUGAUGGUGCUUGCACCAUCACUUAGCGGCGAACGGGUGAGUAAUGCCUAGGAAUCUGCCCAUUAGCGGGGGACAACGUGUGGAAACGCACGCUAAUACCGCAUACGCCCUACGGGGGAAAGCAGGGGACUCUUUGAGCCUUGCACUAAUGGAUGAGCCUAGGUCAGAUUAGCUAGUUGGUGGGGUAAAGGCCUACCAAGGCGACGAUCUGUAGCGGGUCUGAGAGGAUGAUCCGCCACACUGGAACUGAGACACGGUCCAG
rnacentral:rRNA from 1 species